UUCUGAAAGAAUGGCUCAGUCAGCAGAGCAUGAGACUCUUAAUCUCAGGGUUGUGGGUUCAAGCCCCACGUUGGGAAA